GUCGGGGUUCUGUCAAAGAGAACCCACGUAUACCCGACAUUGCUGUAUUCCUUCAAAAAUGACGGAAACCUUCCACAACCGGUUCUCUACUGUUACUUCAUUGGUAAUGUAAUGAAGUUUGCUCUCCCAAAAUAUCUUUCCAACAAACCAAAGACGCUCCUCUCCCUCUCUCGACAAAAGCCCUAAAAUUUUUCAUAAAGAACAACAAAUCCAUCGUUUGACGACCAUAUGAAAGUGCAAGAAUUAGAAAUCUGCAAAAGGAGCUUCUCUAUCGACGAGGAAACUGGAACAAAAAGAAAUAUGCAAACAAAUUAGAUAGUCGGAAUGUGAAGUGCCAUUAUGAGCUUCGUUAGGUUGGUUAGUUGUUUUUAUUUUUUUUGGUUUUGGGGUCUUACGUAUUUUUAAAUUUUGUUUCUUUUUUGGAAGGAAAGGAGGAUUUUUUAUGACCUUUGUUAAGUUUUAACUUAUCUUUGUAUGUUAUGUUUUUGGAUAGUUGUUGAAGUAAAACCAUCCAAUUGAACUAUCAAACAUGUCCAUAUUAUUUUCUUUUAUUGGAUUUUUUUUUUUUUCAAUUAAAUAAACCUCUUGACUUGGUAAUGUAUCAUUCCAAGUCUCCAAAUUAUGAUAUAGCACCAAUCACUAAUGACACUGGACGGUUAAUACAUUCAAUCUCAAGUUAGCAAAUAAUAAAACAUAAAAAUAAAAAUCAUUUAUCCCAUGAAGAGAUCUCUUUAUCUCAUGUUGAAUUUUUAAUUUUUUGACGUGUAUUUUUUGGAAUAUGAAACUUUUCUAAAAGCUAGAAAAUCAAACAAGAAUGUAUAAACACCAAAAAAACAGAAAGUAAACCCCAUAUAAACUAUAAUAUUUUGAAUUUUUUAUUUUUCGACAUAUAUUAUUUGGAAUACAGAACUUUUCUAAAAUCUAGAAAAUCAAACAAGAAUGUAUAAACACCAAAAAAUCAAAGUGUAGAUUUAAAUUUCAUUUCUAUUACAUGAACUUUUCCAACAAACUUGUGAUAAAUAAAAAAAAAAUCGGGAAACCUGCUGCUUGCACUACAGAAGAAGAAAAACGAAAAAAAAUUGGGAAAUCUACACUUAAGGAAGAAAUUGAAGGCAUGAUAAUUAUACUUAGUGGAGUUCUUGGUAAGCCUAAAUUUGUACUGUUCAAAAACCUGUUCCAUUUUGGAUUUAUUCACAGCUCAAAUGAAUACAUAUAGACCAAAUUGUUACAAACCAUUUUAUCUAGUUAAAAGUCAAGAGUUGAAUUUUCAAAGUCAAAGUCAAAUGAGGACUUUAAUGAAGUAAAUUAUUUUAUUGGAGUUAUUUUACAAAUUGAAAAUAUUUUGAGGGUCUAAGAUGGAAAAAUUGUAAUAAUAAUUAUUUUGGGAAGCUAUUUAAAUAUUAUUAAAAGUUAAGGUAUUAAAUGUUAUGUUUAAUUGAAGUAGUGGGACUUUCUUUGCAAAUUGAUUUAGUGGCCCAUUUAAAACCCAAUUGCCCAUUUCUUUCACACACACAUACAAUACAUAUAGGGGGGAAAAAAGGGGCAGAGAGAGCUGGAAGAAUCGAGAAAGAAAGGGAGAAAAGAGAGAGGAAAGAAAAAAAAAAAAAAAAAAAAAGAAAGAAAGGAAGGAAAGGAAGAAGAGGAAGUGAGUGUUGAUUUCUUCAAGUACUAUUUCAUUUCUUAAAGAAUUAGAAAAUAUGUGUUUGUUGUAUUUUGAUGUUAAAUAUUCUAGGGUUCUAAGUUGUUGAUUUAAAUUUUAGAUUGCAGGAAAGAGCAUGAUUUCAAGCCAAUCUUUGUGAGUGGUGAUUGAUAUUUACAUAAAGGUAAGUAAUAUGAUUUUUGAACGAACCUAGAAAUUUUUAGUUGGGAUUUUUGAUUAAGUAUUGCUAAUGGAAUAAUUGAGGUGAUGAAAUAUUCAAGUGAAAUCAUGAUUUUAUGAAGCUAGAUUAAAGAUAAGUUGGUUGUGUUCUUUGUGUCAGUUUUUACUAGAUUGUAAAGUGAAAUUAUUUUAUGCUUGGAAUGAAAUAUUUUUAUGAAUUGGUUAUUAGUAGAGGAACUAGAGAGUGGAAUUAGCUUAAAGUGAUUAAGGGAAAUUGGUGGAAAAUUAUUAAAGUAUCGAGAAAUCAAGUUUUAGAUUCCAUCAUCAAUAUUUAAAACCACUUAGCAGGAGAGUGUAUAAAUUAGUUAUUUUACAUUGUCUUUCAGGUGAUGGCGAAGAGAUGGGAAAAACUUGUCGACCAUCAUAACCAGUAGCUUGUUUAGAGUGAAUGGAUAUAAACUCAUUUUUCAGAAAUUAGUAUUUAUUAAAUUAUAUUAUAUUAGAAAAUUUAUUAUUUCAUUCAAUUGAGUUGACAACAUAAUUUUUAGAAUAAAGUGGAUUUAUAAUCAGUUGUUUUAAAGUUAAAUUCAGUUCAAUUAAAUCAUUUCAAUAGCAUGUUCCAUUCGUAUUACAUGUUUCAGUAUAGUUAAAGUUAUUUCUAAAAACCAACAGAAAGUACCCAGAUGAUUUUACCCCAGUAUGCACUGGUGUGAAUGUGUUUUCACAGUGUAUGACCAGUUAUGGUGAUUUUACCCGCUCUGCACUAUUGUGAAUAUGUUUCGAUAGUGUAUGACCAGAUUAUCAGAGGUCUUUGGGACCCACUCUCGUACACAUAUAGGUUUUGGGCUGUGUGCUAGGGUGAUUAGCCUUUGGGGCAGCUCUGUGUACGUAUGACCAGAUUAUCAGAUUUGAAUGGCUUUGCCUUGUACAGCAAGAUUACUCUUUACAUGAGUAAGGCUAUUCAUUGGGUACAUUUUUGGUGUGAUUUUUCAAUUUUUCUAUAGCUUAUCAAAUUUCAGAUUAUAGAAUUCAGUCUAUUCAGUUCUCAGAAUAAAGCUUCCAGCUUAUAGAAUUGAACAACAUCAUUAUUUCACAGAUUUUCAUGGAUGUCAGAUUAUUUAUAUUCGUUAUAUUUUACAAUUGUUGAACUAGAAUAAAGAAUUUUAUGAUCCAAUCAUAUUUUAAUUUUAAAAGUGCUACUAGUUUUCAAAAUUUUUAGAAGUUUUAGUAGUGCAAGAGUUUUCAAAAAAAAUAUACAUAAAUGAGAAAACUUUACUUAUUUGCAAAUUAUCCACUCACAGAGCUUUAAGCUUAUACACACACACACACACACACACACCUUUUUCUUUAUCAGAUAGAAAGCAGACGAAUUGAGCAGCUUUGGAGCCUAUUUAACCACCAAAUUGAGCCACAUGUCAGGUUAUAUGACAUCCUUUAUCAGAUUAUACAUUACGUGUUCUUUUGGGAUACAUGUUGUUUAAGUCAGAAAAAUUCAUCAUGAGCUCAUUACAUCCUUGACGUAUUUGGUAUAUUUGAGGAUUAUUGGUUGUAAAGCAAGUAAAUAUUGAAUGACUAGCAUUUUAUUUGAAUAGUUUGUAUUAUGAGGUAUUGGGUUGAAGAAACUCUUUUUUUUAUUGACAAGGGAACCCGCAGCCGCUAUCCGAAGGUGCGCACUAGGUAAACUCCGUCUUGUGAUCCUAGCCGACAAAGGACCACAAGGAGGUAAAUCAGCCUAGGUUACCCAUAGUUGACCGGCUCAAACCAAGAAGGCCAAUAGGUCGGGAAUCGAACUAGCAACCUCAUGAUUGCUAGUCAAUUGGGUUGAAGAAACUUAAAAGGUUGAACUCCAACCUUAAGGGUCUCCCACCGUUCCUACCCUGGAGCAUCGUGAGGGAGGUAAAUCGCAGGUUAUGCCUCCAAGGGUACAGGUGGAAGGCUGCUUGUACACUUGCACUUACCCAAGAGCUAAAUCCAUAUUUCAGGAUUCGAACCCUUGACGCGGCAGCCUCAAGCAAAGCUGGAUUUCUCCACUCUCCCCUUUUACCACUUGGAGAUGUGCCCUGGGGGCUGGGUUGAAGAAACUUGGUUAUGGUUCAGGUGGUUUUAGUUCAUAUUUUAGGAAAAACUCUUUCAAAAUUUUGUUAAAAAUAUUUUUCAGUCAAGUUGUCUUGGUGGUGGGUCCAGCGUUUAGCUGGUAUCUACCAUCGGCGCACGACACGUGUCGGAUCUACUAGGAUGAUUCGGACGGGUCGUGUCACAAAUUCUUGUAGCCUAAAUGUAAACAAAAUACUUGGUCAUUGAAGCAAACCCUAACUCGUCCCCUAACCUUUGCAGUCUCUCUGUCUCACGCUCAAAGACUCUCUACUCUCAAAUUUGUCUAUCAAAAACCUCAAAUCUUUCUUAUAGAAUAAUAAAUCGCUAUUUCCACGAUCGAUCCAAAAUAAAGAAAGUGUCGAAAUUUGCAAUACAACUCUUCCUAAACAGGUUUGCACUGGUAAAUACAAAAUAACUUCUUCAUAUAUUACUUUUUGGCAUUUUUUCAUAUAUUACUUUGGCAUUUUUUGUAGAGAAAAAAAUGAAACAUUGACGAUCAUUUUUCUUCGAAAAUAAAUAGAUAGACUUAAAACAAACAAAAAUUACUUCCUUUUGAUUCCGUCUGCACAAGCCUUUGAAUUUGUUAAUUUUUCUUUGGGUAUUGUUUUUUGUUUAACAGUACACUGUUUGAGGUUCUAAUACGGAAGAAUUCGCUCUGCCAAAGUUCAACGGUUCGAUUUCAAAUCCUUCUGGAUCCUGUCUAGCUGUAAUAUCAACAGCGAGGAUCACUGUUCCCCAAUUGAGGUUUCUUGCGAUUAGGUUUGUCGGGUCGUCACAUUCAAUAUUUGUUUGGUAAGGUUUUUUCAGUUAUAUAACUAAGAUUGACGUCAGUUCUUUAUUUCAUCAUGCAACAUAAGAUAUAGAAUUGGUUUCUUUAAAACACAUCAAAGGCUAGGAUGUUUUAGGUAAAUUGAAAAGCAAGAAAAUAACAAGUCUUUUUGGAUCUUAUUAAGAAACAUAAAGGUAAAGUCUUGUUAGACAAGAUUUCUUAGCAAUGCAUUUGAAAAUUUGAAGGCUCUUUAUGUAGUGAUGCUUGUUGCAUUCUGUAUUUGCCAAUUUAAUUUAUCUGCUAAUCAUGAGAAAGCUUCAAUUACAAUUAGAUUUUGUCUUUUGUAGCUUCAUAUGUGAUUUGGUUUAAUGUAGCAUAGCCUUUCAAGGGUGUUAAUUCUAUUAUACAAUGAUCUUAGUAGCAAAUGUAUCAAAUAGAUUGGGUUCUUGAAUUUUUUAAAUUUAUGUUUGUUUCACUGUACAUUAAAUCCUUUUGUUACCCUUUUCUUUACCCACAGAAAGAAAGUCUCGACCACAUAAUUAUGAAAUUUUAUUUGUAGAAGUGUGUGAAAAACUUGUCAUAUGUAAUAUUGAUACAAAACAACAAAUUUGCAAAACCACAAUUCCUUAUUACUUAAAAAGGACAAUUCUCCAAUAGGCUUAUAAAUUUUACAUUAGGAUAAACAUGCUUUCAUGAACCAAACCAAAUAUCUAUUGAUGAACCGCAUAACAAAUACCUACCAUAACUGUCCAUUCAACUGAAACAUUUUCCCAAUAAAUCCAUCUCUGUAAAAAAUUGAAAAAUAUACAUUUAGAGGAAAAUCUUCAAUUAUUAAAUCUGAAAUUUUGAUAAUCAAUUUCCUUUAACUGAAAAGAAAUUGAAAAUCUUUGCCUACCAUAAUUUCCAUCACUCUUUAAAUCAUUAAGCAUAGUUCACCAGAAGCCAUGUCAAUUCCAAGAAAUGUGCAUCCAUAUGAAACAUAUAUGAAUGGACUCAUUAGUUUUUGUCUAAGCAUAACAGUGUACAUAUGUAUUGUACUCAAUUACUGGACUACACUUAGCCCCCGUUUGGCUCCUAUUAAAUUUCAUUACAUUACAUUCCAUUCCAUUUUUCUCUCUCCUGUUUUUAACUACAUAAUCGUCCAUAAAAUAAUAUUACACAUAAAUAAAAAAAAAAAUCUUUCUUAUUUAACCACUCAUUUUUCAAAAAAAUACUAUUCCACCCAUUUUCAUUUCUAGAAAAUGGAGGCCAAACGAGGGCUUAAAGUGCUUCCAGUUUAACUACAAUUUUUUAUAUUUCAUCCUAUGUCAAAGCAACUGAAGUACAAUUAAUAACUAAAAAAUUUAACUAAGAAAGUAAUAAAUCAUGAUUAACCAAAGAAAUUCAAUUUAAAAUCUUGCAAACCAAAAUGAUAUUUAUCUAAUUAAAAACGUAUUAAAACAUUCGGGAGGACUUAACCUUAAUAGUUUGAAUCGAAGCCCGAUUCAUAGACAUUCGCUGCGUCCAACUCAGAUCGGACCUCUUCGAUUCACUUGGAACAAAUAAGAUAUAUCCAUUUUGCAUUGUUAAGUUUGUGUAAUGAUUGUCUUAUUAUGAGUAUCUUAAAAUUGAAUUUCCACGAAACAAACAAAUUUGGAAUUACUUGCACAAAAUUUAAUGGAAAGUCAUGCUAUCGGUGGGAUAAUCUAUUCUAAUUUUACACUUGUACUAGAAUCACAUGAAUAAUUGUGUAUUCUUGUGCUAAAGUUUCAUAAAAUUGUAGCUAGCUAUCAUUUCUAUCGCAAUGAUUGUAUACUUUCACAUCAAUGAUAAAAAAGAAUGCUUCAAGUGAUGAAAAUAUAGAGUCUUAAAUUUAUUUCUAUAAAGUUGUAGUACUUAAAAUAUCAUUCAUCAUAAUAUGGAACUUCUGCCGGCUUCUAUUUUUAAAUUUAUUUACGAAGAUUAAGUCAGAUUUGUAUAUAAAUAAAUUUUAUGAUUAAUAAAUAGUUUUUUUUAAUAGGUUUUGCAGAUAUCGUUAGAAUACAUAUUGUCUCCAAAUCAAUGAUUCUCUACUACAAUUACUCAAUUUGCAAAUCAUCAAUAUCUGAAAGAUUUUGUAGAACUUAUAAAUAGAGAUGAUCAAGCUUCUUUAUUGUGUAGUCACUUUCAUGGAUUUAUUUAUGGAAGUAUGUAUAAAAAGAAAAAGAAAAAUUUAGUAGUAAAUUGAUACACGAGUUCAUAAUGAGACUUAUCCACUGUGGUAAAAAUAAUGAAGUUUGGGUGAAAUUAGAUAAUCAUGUAGCUCGUUUUGGCAUGCAAGAAUUUUGUCUAAUCACUGGAUUACCAUGCUAUGAAGUUACUGUUAAUCUCAAUUUUAGUAAUACUCGACUUAGAGAUGAAUACUUCAACGGUACAAAAAGAAUUACUAUGAAAAAGCCUUCUGAAGUAUUCCACGUGCGUCAAGAUCCAGAAGAUAAAUUUAAGUUGGGAUUAGUUAUGUUCGUCGAAUGUAUUUUGAAAUCAAAUGGAAGACAAAUCUAAUAUAGAACUCUUGGAAUGGUUGAACAACUUAAUGAAUUUCUUAUGUAUCCAUGGGGCCGUAAGACAUAUUUUACUUUUGUUAAAUUCAUUGCAAAAAUCACAGCUCGAAAGAGUACGAAGGAUACAACAAAAUGACCAAACAGAAUGUAAAUAUUACGGUUAUCCACUUGCAUUCCAGUUAUCUUUCUUUUAUUUUUUUCCUUAUUAUGUAUAAUUUAAUUGUAUAAAAAUUUUAAUACUUCUUUUUACUUAUAUUAUAGAGUUGGAUAUAUGAAGCUUUUCCUCAAAUUGGACAACAAUUCGGACGAUGUACACAUAGAAAAUUAUAGUAUCCACGAAUGCAUAAAUGGAAGCCAAAAAUAGUAUUAAUGGAACAGAUCAUUAAACAAUUUUUGACUACUCGAAACGUAUGAUUUAGUUGAAUCUACAAUUAAAUGUUUAUUUAAUUAUUUAUAAAUAAAUCUAAUAUUUUAUUGCAAUUAUAGAUUGAAGUAAUUGCAAUACUGCAUCCUACUGAAGAAGAAUUGAAAACUUUCUUGUAUACAAAUAUUUCACUACCAGUUGACAACCAACAUAGUAUACUAGAUAGCAUUGUCAAUGGUGAAUUUGACAAUGUAAUACAACAUAUUCCAGCUGAUAACAUACAUAAUUAAAAAAAAACUGUUGACACUUCAGUUGGAAUUGGAUCUACUUCUUCUGGUAGUUCAAACUAUGUAACUAAAGAAGAUAUGAAUCAAAUGUUCAAUAUAUACAGACAACAAGUAGUGUCAGAUGUAUCUGAUUUGUAUGAUAGCUUAAAGAUACAAAUGAUUGAAGAAUCAAGAAAACAAGAAACUCGUUAUCAUGCAAUUCUUGAAAAUCAACAAGCUAACUGCCAAACGAUUCUUGACAACCAUAAACAAUUAUUUGAACAUUAGCAAAAAGGUCAAGAAGACUACUUCCAUGGCAUGCAAUCUAACAUGCAAUCUUAUGUGGAUACCAGUUUCAGUUCAACGAAAUCUUACAUUGAUGAAUAAAAUCAGAAUAUGCUGAAUCAGUUAUCCGACUGAAAAUCAUACGUGGAAAUGAUUGCAAGCUCUAUACACCAAGAUGUAUAUGCUCAUACAAGUCCAAUUGAAUUCGAAAUCUCUUCAACAUCUGAACAUAUUGAAAAUGUUGAAAGGUUGACGAAAGAAAAAAAGGUAAGAAAAAGCAGCUGCAAUCUUCAUCAACAGCCAGCUAAUACUUUAGAAGACUGUAACACCAACAAGUACAAAAACAUUAGAGAUUGGAUAUUACAGAGUCCAUCAGGGCAAGAGAUCCAAUUUUACUUUGUUAGCUUAAAUAUUAUAAUUUGUAUUUUACUCAUUUAACGCCAAUUUAAAUUUUCUUAUACAGUACGUAUUGAGAUGAGGAAAGGAUCCUAUUUUACUUUAUUAGUCUAGAUAUUAUAAUUUGUAUUUUAUUUAUUUAACAAAAAUUUAAAUUUUCUUAUACAGUACGUAUUGGGAUGAUGAAGCUCGUAAUCUCUAUGGAAGAUAGAUGCUAAAACAUAUAAUAGAUAAAAAAAAAAGAUAUAAAUAUUGUGAUAAGUAAAAUUUAGUAAUGAUAAUUCAUUUUAUUUCAUUAUUAAUAUAUCUAAUAUACAUUUUAUUUUAUUUUAUUAGCAUAUUGAUAUAGAAUUAAAGCUAUUGAAGAGGCUUAUUAAGGAUGAUUCUCCCCUACUUUCUAAAGAAUAUGCAAUCAUGGAUCUUAGAUUCGAAACCGAAUAUGUUUAUUGGCAAUUGAAUAUGCAAGAAGGAAUUGGCAAUUCUGCAACUAAUAUGAAUGUAUUACAACAGUACAUAAAUGAAAAAUUGCCAGUACCUGCUCGUCCGUGGAUAAUAUACAACUAUUUAUUAAUUCUAUCCGCAUAUCCAGGCAACACUUGAUUUCUUUUUCUUGUUGAUUUUUCGAAAAUGGAAAUUUCAUAUAUAUGAUUACAGCCACAACAUUCAUACGUCGGAACAAAUGAGGGCAUAUGCAAUACCAGUAUUGAUUGUAAUAGAAUCAUUAUUAGUAUUUGCACACAUUUUCUCCAACAAACCAAGUUUAAGGAAGCAUAGAAAUAAACUUAUGAAGUUGGAAAUCAUGCCAUAUCUACCUUGUCAAAUAAUGGGUAAGCAUCUCCACAAUUUACUAUAAUAUUUAAUUUUCUAUUUAUUUUAAUUUUAUAUUUACAGUAUUAAGAUAAUCUAACUUUAACCUUUUUCUAUAGGCCAAAUUGUGGAAUUUUUUUCUCAAAUACAUUGAAUGCUUCAUUUUUGGAUAUCCAUUAGAAUCAGUUUCACCAAAGAAGAUGAGUUAUAUAGACGAAAGAUUGCAACAAAUAUCCUAGAGAUGGCAACGGUUCGGUUCGAGGUCGGUUCGGCCAAAACCAUUACCGCACCAUCAAUUUUUUGGUCAUACCAUAACCGCACCAUAACCACGAAAGUCAGUUCGGCUCGGUUGGGGUCGUUAAUAACCACAAAAAUAAAUUAUUUUUAAUUGGUCUAUAUGUCGAAUUAAAAAGAAAAAUGUAUGAAAAAAGUCAAUGCAGUAAACAACAUCCCAAAUGAAAAUGCAAAAAAAUAUCCUAAUUCUCAAAUACACAAUCCAAAUUUAACAAACAAUAUUCAAUAACGGGCCAAAGAGAACGCUUCAACUACAGUAUUUCCCGGCUAUACAGGUAACCCAUUCAUUGCACAUGUGUACAUCACACAUUUUCUCCAUUUGCUCUUUCCCAUUUAUUUCUCCAUUCUUGUUCUUUUUCACCUUUCAGAAUUUUUAACGCCAAAUAUCCACUUAGGGUUUGAUUUCUAUAAUUAAAGAAUUUAAUUUCUUGUUUAUGUAUUGUUUCGGCCAAAAGUCAUCAAAGUGGAAGAAAUUAAAGUCAUUUAUCUCUAAAACAGCCACCAAUUGUAAAAAAAUUGAAAAUUUUGGAUAUAUUUUGGCCAAAUCUUGUACGAAAUUCACAACAAAUUCAAAUAGACAAAUACAAAUUAUCAAAAGAGAAAAUGAGAAGCUCACCAGUGGUAGAAGCCUAAAGGUCGAAGGAGAAGAAAAUAUUGCAAACGGGCAGAGGAGGAUGAGACGACAGUCGGUACUCGACAGACCCAAAAUGCAGAAGCUGAGAUUCCAAUUUUCCAAUAAAAUGUUUGUGCCUUUGUGUUAGACUGUUGGGGUUCAAAGUUGGGUAAUGGGUACUUGGGUGUAAAUUUAAUUUGUUAACAGGCCAGAAAUUUUGGGCCAAAGAAAUUAAGUAAUUAACAUAUAAAAAAUCAAAAAAUUAUGGAAAGCCCAAUUAUUAUUAAUUUAUUAUUUUUCUAAGGGUUAAUCGGUUCGGCUCGGGGCGAUGGCAUAAAUACCAUACCUGCCCCGCCCCAAACCGGUUCAUUUGAUUCAAAUACCAUAUUUGCCCCAUUGCACUAUCGGUUCGAUUUUUUUCGCUCCAUUCGGUUUGGUUUAUCGCGGUUUUCGAUUUUGACGGUUCGAAUUGUCAUCCCUAAGAUAUCCGUUACAAUGAAUAUUUUUUAUGUCCCGUUUGUCUUAAUUCUAACGAAUUAUCAAAGUACAGUAAAAUUACUUUCAACUGCCAACAUAUUUUUCACAUUGAGCAUGUGUUAAAUGACAAUAACAGCUACAUGAUUAUUAUCAGUAAACCACAGUGUGCAUUCACUACUUAAAUACUAUUGAACACAGUUUCUAAGAUAAGUUAUAAAUAUUUUUUCAUUAUGCACGAAUAUACUUAAACUUAUAAAUAUCUAAAUCAUUACUGUAUUGUUGCCUAUAAUAAAUUCAUGUAAAUUCUAUAAUUCAUUGUAUAAUCUUAUAUUCAUAACUUCAAAAUUGUUUAUUUUAAGUAUUUCUUUACAAAGGAAUGAAUAUAAGUUGUUUGGUGGCAAAUAUGGGACACUGCUAAACACAAAAGAUAUCAAAGUCUCGAAGUUUGGUUGUUGUUUAUCUUCAUCAAAGUCUCGAAGUUUGGUUGUUGUUUAUCUUCAACCUUUGGUGAAAUUCUACAACAAAUCAAAAACGCUUUUACAAAAAAUUGAAGAGUCUCGACUUCAAGUAUGUUCUUCUUAUAGUUUUUCUUUUUGUAGUUGGGUUGGUUGAGGGCAUUCAACUAUUUGUUUCAAACUUGCUUUAUUAUCUGUUUGUAUGAAUUUCUUCAAGGACUGUUCCUCAAAAUUGUGAAUUAUAUGAAGAGAAAUUCUAUCUUUGUGUUGUUUGUCAUAUAUUAAAAAUUUUUUUUUAACACUUAAUCUACUGUCUAUUAAAAGAGAGGAUGCCAUUCUACUGUUCAUUUGAAAACUCCCUCACAUAGGCCUGUUGGGGAGAGAUUUUUUCACCCAAAAAAUUGAUUUUUUUGACCGUUAUUUCACUAUUCUAGCUAUCAUAUUUGACUUCUUUUCUUACAGGUGGACCCCACUUUUCUCCUAACGGUCAAAAAAUCAAUUCUCAAAACCACUACCAAACAGGCUCAUAUUCAUUGUUCAUUUGUAAAGCUGUGUGUGGACAAAAUGAGGACAGUUCGAACAUUUCACUCAUACCAUAAUUGUUGACUGGAGAACUAGGAUUUUAUUGUUGGUAGCUUCCAAAACACGUUUGUUUAUCUUUUUCUCACUGUAAUGUUCAUGAAUCCAUUGAACUUUUGCAGAUGUUUUCUAUACCAUUUUUAUAUUUCACUCUUCUUAGACACAAACCCUUGAAAUCUGCUGCAACAUCUCACUUCCUCAGCCAUCUCCUUCACCGUCAAAAGCACAACUUCAGAUAGGAAGGUAAUUAAGCGAUUAGUGAAGAUUUCUAGCUGCAAAGGUUUGUUGUUGUUAAUAAUUUAAGGUUUUCAAUUUGGGUUGUAGUUUUGGUUUGGAAUCAAUCAAAAUUGUUGUUAUGCAUUUAUUGUUGUAGAAAGUAGGAAGACGGCUCUGCUGUAUUUGGGAUUGGAUGAAGGACCCGUUAUGGGCUUGUAGAUCUACAAGUCCAUUUUGCAGUCAUAGAUGUUUUGGUGAUUUGUUUAGGAUGUGGUUUUAUAAUUUUUUCACUGAGCAGAUAAUACCAUUUGAACAUUUGGGAUGAUGAUGCAAUAAAGCGCAUAUUUGAAAUGGUGCUUUCACGUUUUCUGCUACAAAUUAUUUGUUGUCCUUAUUAAGGGGUAAAAAAAAAAAAAAAAAAAAAAUCAACUUGGGCUAAGUACUUGCAUUCUUUGUGAUUUUUUACUUUCUUUCUUCAUUUGUCUAUUUUUCACUUUUGAAUUUAUUUUCUCAUGAAAUAUGUUAUUCUCUUCUAUUUUCUGUAUGCAGUUUUGGUAAGUAAAGAAAGGUUGUAGAAUAAGUUCAAUCUUUAUGUUCCAAUAAUUAUGAGUGAAUAAACCUAAGGCAGCUGCAAAUGGCAAUGCUAAGCCAGAGGAGAAGGGUGAGGUUGUGACACAGAAGAAAUAGAAAUAAUGCAGUAACAAAGAUGGCAACAGAUAAAAAGGAUGAUGGGAAAGACGAGGCCCAAAUUAUGGAUAUGGACAAAGUGCAGAACAAAGAAAGCAAAGAAACUGAAGAAAAAGAAGCAGAUAAUGAAAUAAGAGAAAAGGAAGAAACCAAAGACGAAAAAGAAAAGAAAGAAGCAAAAGAAGAUGAAGAUAAAGAAGAAACAAAAGGAGGAGAAGAAAAAUAAGAAAUAAAAAGUGAGGAAAUGGAACUGCACUGAAAGACAUCUCUAAUGAUACAUCUUUUAAAUACUACCUUUUG
rnacentral:lncRNA from 1 species